AAGCAUUCAUAUCAAAUGUUAUUAUCUAGAUGUUGUUGAUUGCUUCUUAGCAUAGGUUUUGACAACAUUUUUCAAUGUAAUGGCGGAGAUGUUUCAUCAUCAAAUCAUAUAAUAGGAUUUUUAUUUUUUCCUUCUUUCAAGGUCAAAUCUGGUUCAAGUUUUGACAUUGUUUCCUUUUAUCAUCAGUUCAAGGGAGACACCACUGGUCAAAUUUGAUAUUUGACUGCUAAUGGAGGUUAUUAAAUCUGACCUAGAUGAAAUUAAAUACAUGUUGGUGCAUUCAAUAGCUACAUAAGGUAGAUGGUUUCUAAUUUGGUUGUUGCUAUUUGGAGCACGAGAUGAGGAGACAACAUUCAUUCCUAUAGGCAUUGCUUGUGUCACUAUGAUAUGUGGCUUCUAGUUGUUUUCAAAACCACAUGACAUCUCAGCCAUGACUGCAUUUGUAUUCUUGGAAGAUAAGUUUCUUUACGUGGGCGAAUUGUAAAUUUUGUAAAAUUCUGUAACCAUCAGGGGAUGGAAAAAAUCCAGGUUUCGAGAAGUUGUAUC
rnacentral:lncRNA from 1 species